rnacentral:rRNA from 1 species
AGAGUUUGAUCAUGGCUCAGGAUGAACGCUGGCGGUAUGCUUAACACAUGCAAGUCGAACGGGAUACUUCGGUAUCUAGUGGCGGACGGGUGAGUAACGCGUGAGAAUCUGGCUUCAGGUUCGGGACAACCAUUGGAAACGAUGGCUAAUACCGGAUGUGCCGCAGGGUGAAAGAUUAAUUGCCUGAAGAUGAGCUCGCGUCUGAUUAGCUAGUUGGUGGGGUAAGAGCCUACCAAGGCGACGAUCAGUAACUGGUCUGAGAGGAUGACCAGUCACACUGGGACUGAGACACGGCCCAGACUCCUACGGGAGGCAGCAGUGGGGAAUUUUCCGCAAUGGGCGAAAGCCUGACGGAGCAAUACCGCGUGAGGGAGGAAGGCUCUAGGGUUGUAAACCUCUUUUCUCAGGGAAGAACAAAAUGACGGUACCUGAGGAAUAAGCAUCGGCUAACUCCGUGCCAGCAGCCGCGGUAAUACGGAGGAUGCAAGCGUUAUCCGGAUUUAUUGGGCGUAAAGCGUCCGCAGGUGGCAGUUCAAGUCUGCUGUCAAAGGUCGGGGCUCAACCCCGAACAGGCAGUGGAAACUGAACAGCUAGAGUACGGUAGGGGCAGAGGGAAUUCCCAGUGUAGCGGUGAAAUGCGUAGAGAUUGGGAAGAACACCGGUGGCGAAAGCGCUCUGCUAGGCCGAAACUGACACUCAUGGACGAAAGCUAGGGGAGCGAAUGGGAUUAGAUACCCCCGUAGUCC